CUCGAAAUUGCAAGUGGUUUUUUGUGUUGCUUGAAGUGAAUUCUGGAAAAUAUUUUUUAUGGAUUCUGGACAAAAUGAUAUAAUCUAGAAGCUGGAUGCUAUUGAGACCCAUACGGUAAAUGUGGUGUUGAUGACCUUCUCACUGCCAUACAAAAGCAAUUAAAAGGCAAAAUGUCAGAAAAGGUCGAAGUGGAAGCGUAAAGCAAAUUCCGCGUCAAAGCGGCAAAGAUGCACCACUCAAUUAGCAGAAACAGCGAAAAACGCUACUACCUUCCUCAGUUGCCGACCUUACAGCAGGCAUGGAUAAUAUAAUACGAAUCUCUCGCAUUGGCUGUCAUUUUUCUCUCAAACGCGUUCCCUGCAUUUACAAAGUGUUUAAUUUAGUGUUUUGUAUAAUUUAUCGAAAAAGCCAAAAGUAAAGAAAUGUGGGGUGUAGUAUAUAAGUAUAUACAGCAGUGGUCGGCAAGUGCCGAGUGCACGCAUACAAAAAUAUUCUUGCUUGUGUAUGUGGCAAAAAUACUCAUUGCCGCUGUCAAAUUGUAAGCCCAAAAAAUUUUGCGCGCAAAUAAUAUAUACUUUUUUGAAAAUUUCACAGAACACUUUAAAAAUAACUGAGAAGUAUUAGAUAUUACAAAAUAAAAAAUAUCAGAACUGCUUUUCGAAAAUUUUAAAAAUCAUUCCCUUGUAAGGGGUAGAAGUCUGAAAAAAUGUUAAACGUAUUCUGAAUAAUAUUGGAAAAAUGCGCAAAGCUAAUUCGAUUCACCUUGCAGUGCUAGCGCCCCGGAAGGUGACGUGAUAGGUCGCGUGGAUUAUAUAAGUAUGUACAUACAUAUGUCAUUUUCAAGCUUAAAAAUAAAACACACUAAUCCACAUA